rnacentral:rRNA from 1 species
UCUAUUUGUCAUCACUAACCCAUCAUCACUAUUGAAUAAAUUCAUAAAUUAUGAAAAUUAUUAUGCUAGAACUAGUAACAAGAAAAUGAAUUUCUCCAAAGCGUAAGCAUAAGCCAAGACGGACAGCCCUUUGGUAAUUAACGGCCCUGAGCCUAUUAUAGUAAAGUAUCAAGAAAAUCCUAUAUCUCACACCGUUAACCUUACACGAGAACUCUCCUGGAAAAGAUUAAAAGGAAGAGAAGGAACUCGGCAAAUCAUAACCCCGCCUGUUUACCAAAAACAUCGCCUCUUGCUGGAUAUAAGAGGUCUAGCCUGCCCAGUGUUUUAAUCAACGGCCGCGUGAUUUAAGCGCGCGAAGGUAGCGUAAUAAUUUGUUCUUUAAAUGAGGACUUGUAUCAAUGGCAUCACGAGGGUUAUACUGUCUCCUCUCCCCAAUCAGUGAAACUAAUCUCCCUGUGAAAAAGCAGGAAUAAACCAAUAAGACGAGAAGACCCCAUGGAGCUUAAAACACAGCAACAACCCUAAUUAGUUAACCUAUAUAAUUUUAAGCCCUGUAUGCUAGUUUUAGGUUGGGGUGACCGCGGAGCAAAACAAAGCCUCCACAACGAAAAGGGCUUACACCCUUAUCCAAGAGACACACCUCUAAGAAUUAUAAUAAUAACGUAUAAUGAUCCGACCAUCGACCAACGGACCAAGUUACCCUGGGGAUAACAGCGCAAUCCACUUUAAGAGUCCCUAUCGACGAGUGGGCUACGAAACCUCGAUGUUGGAUCAGGUAUUCCCAGUGGUGCAGC